GACGGACCACCCAAACGUUAUUCGGAAUCACUGGGCUUAAAGGGUGCGUAGGCGGUGUAGUAAGUCGGGUGUGAAAUCCCCCAGCUUAACUGAGGAAUUGCGCCCGAAACUGCUGCGCUCGAGGGAGACAGAGGUGAGCGGAACUGAUGGUGGAGCGGUGAAAUGCGUUGAUAUCAUCAGGAACACCGGUGGCGAAAGCGGCUCACUGGGUCUCUUCUGACGCUCAGGCACGAAAGCUAGGGGAGCAAACGGGAUUAGAUACCCCGGUAGUCCUAGCCGUAAACGAUGAGCACUUGAUCGGAGACUCCCUCAUAGGUUUCUGGUCGUAGCGAAAGUGUUAAGUGCUCCGCCUGGGGAGUAUGGUCGCAAGGCUGAA
rnacentral:rRNA from 1 species